rnacentral:lncRNA from 1 species
UUAGCAAAAAAUGGUUGGUCGAAAUCUGUCAUGAUACAAACCGUGUUCUAAGUGACGCUUGUUCACUACUCAUGGUUAGUUGAACACAUUCUUUGCUUAAUCGAAUGAAUUCGUAUAAACUGUUUAUCGCUUGUAUAAUCGGUCUUAUAAACCAACCAAGGCAUGAAUAUAUAAACAAUAUUUUAUGUGAACCGAGGAUAGAAUCAUAACGAAGUUUUCCUAAAACCAAUUGAUUGAUCGUCUUUUUAUCAAUUGAAUUUCUAAUACUACUCUUUCGAUCUAAACAAACCCAAAACCCCAUAUUUAAUUAUGUUAUUCAUUGUUCUUAUUUUUACUAAUUAUUAAAUUAGAGGUCCUUGUGAN